GAUGAAGAACGCAGUGAAAUGCGAUACGUAAUGUGAAUUGCAGAAUUCAGUGAAUCAUCGAAUCUUUGAACGCAUAUUGCGCUCUUUGGUAUUCCGAAGAGCAUGCUUGUUUGAGUAUCAGUAAACACCUCAACCUCUUCUUGAUUUUUCAAAAGGAGGGUGGACUUGAGCUAUCCCAACAACCUUUACCGGUCGGCGGGCGGCUUGAAAUGCAGGUGCAGCUGGACUUUUAUCUGAGCUAAAAGCAUAUCUAUUUAGUCCUCGUCAAACAGGAUUAUUACUUUUGCUGCAGCUAACAUAAAGGAUAAUUGUCCUCUUUGCUGACUGAUGCAGGAUUUUACGACACUUUAUGUGUUGUUCAACUCGAUCUCAAAUCAAGUAAGACUACCCGCUGAACUUAAGAAUAUCAAUAAGCGGAGGA
rnacentral:misc_RNA from 1 species